CCGCCGUCAUGCUCGAGUUUCAGUAAAGUUUGGUUUCGACGAAAUAUGUGCCUAAGGAGUUAUAAUAAUUCAUUAUUUGUGGGUUUCUAGUGAAAUUUGAGGCUGAACUGAAGUGAUCACGAAAGUCAUAAGAACAUAUGGAUAUUAUAAGUGGUUACGUUGUAGGUGAAGUGCUCGUUGAUCUCUGAAAAUAUAAUGGCAAUAACAUAUUGAGUGUGCUCCGGCGUCUAGCGAACAUGGCGAUGGCGACGCUUCUUGGACGUUUAUCGAUAUAAACACAUUUAUUUCGUCCAUUUGACAACUCAGGAUGAGUGGAGACGUUGGGGAGGAAGAACAAGUGUCAAAAGUGGAGGCAUCAGCAGCUGUAACUAACACAAUUGCAAUCACCACAUCUAGUUUUGUAACUGGCGUAACACAUACAACCACCACCACUACAGUCAGUGCUUCUACAGUAGAACCCUCUGCACCGUCUUCUCCUACGACUACAGUCACCACAACACCUGCACCGGCCACUCCGCCACCAUCCACUGUCACAACUACUGUUAAUACACCUGCUCCAUCAUGGGCCUCUCCAGCACCUGCUUUAGUCACUCCGCAAGAUACGCCAGAAGAAGAGGCAGAAGAAGAAGGUAGUGUUGGUGGAGAAGCAAAUUGUACUCCUGAGCGUGUGUAUAUAUCUCCAGAACAGUUAGCCAAUAUUACUAAAGAAGAGCUAGUAGAAAAAUGGACUCUUCAAGAAAAGUUUUUAGAGUGCUUACAGAACAGAAUGGAAUCAUUAGAAAGAGAAGUUGAGGAACUGCAUGGUGUCAGAGAAAGUGAAGAGAGACUUAAAGGACAACUUGCCGAGUUGCAGCGGAAAGAGCAGUAUCACAUCAUGAGGUUAUCAAGUAAAGAACAUGAACUACAAGAUAUGGGGGCCCAGAUUCAAGAACUUAAAAACAUGUCCGUUGGAGUGGGAGGACUCAGAAACUGUCUGCUAGACCCAGCUGUAAACCUCCUCUUUGAACGUCUCAAGAGGGAUCUGGAUUCAGCACGAACUAAGAUGGAGGAGACACAGAAUGAGCUUUCAGCCUGGAAGUUCACCCCCGAUAGAAGAUAUCUGUAUGUGAAAGAUGCUGAGUCCUGAGUGCUUUCAGGAAUAGUCGUAAAGAGAAAAAAGGGUAUAUGCGCUUCAUUUUUUGCAUCGCUUUUAAUUUGCACUUUAAAAAAAGUGAUAUUUAGAAAGAAAGACCAUUGGCGCACUAUUCCCAAAAUUCGUUUGUGUCCUCUGGAAAAAAAGUACUGUACUGCCAUUGGGAUAGAACUGAUGUAGAAGCUAUAGACACUAAUGAUUAAGACAGUCAUGAGAAUUAUUGGUUUUUGGCUCUUCGAAAGAGUGCAGUGGUGACCCUGAUGUAUUUAUCAGAAGGAGAACUAUGGCCAAAUGAAGCUGUUCAUAGUUCAAUGCACUCGGCUGAACUUUUAACUUUAGUAUCAAAGACUUAAAAUCUAUAUAUUGCAGCGUUUCAAGUUAAUCCAUGUUCCUCUUAACCUGAAAACAAUACUGGCAAACAACUGAUGGCCAAGUGUCGCUUGCUUAUCAAGGAAAAUGAAGAAUUGGGAAGAAUGAUAACCUCUGGUCGUUUAGCUAAAUUAGAAGGUGAAUUGGCCCUUCAAAGGAACUUCAGUGAAGAGCUUAAGAAAU